rnacentral:rRNA from 1 species
CGGGGUAGGAGUAACGCGUGAGGAACCUGCCUCAGAGAGGGGGACAACAGUUGGAAACGACUGCUAAUACCGCAUAAGCCCACGGCUCGGCAUCGAGCAGAGGGAAAAGGAGUGAUCCGCUUUGAGAUGGCCUCGCGUCCGAUUAGCUAGUUGGUGAGGUAACGGCCCACCAAGGCGACGAUCGGUAGCCGGACUGAGAGGUUGAACGGCCACAUUGGGACUGAGACACGGCCCAG